AGACGGCACCUUCAGCAGCAAGAGUGACGCAACAACUUACCUGAAUGCAGACAGGUGAGAAGACGCCGACAUCCAGACCAGGAAAGCGAUCGGAUGGAAGAAGUCAGCGGUGUAUGAGAUGAUGAUAUGUGUUGUCCUUCAUGGCAAACAAAAGGAAAUGCUGGUUUUUUUUUUCAUCUAAAUCAAGAGGAUAUUGCAGUCUGCCCCCACCAUGUGUUUGUUUGCCCGCCACUACCACCUCCCUCCCUCUGUGGGGCUCUCAGGUGGGAGACAGGUUCUCACACCACCUCCACCACCACCACCACCACGCAGGAGCAGCAUCAAAUCAACGGGUAAUGGCGCUGACGGGUCUCACCUUGAUGAUCCCCACCUGUACGGACACUCCCCUUACCUGGCGGGGGACAG